AUUCCCAGCUUUCCCUCUCAUCUCUUUUGCUCUGAGCUUUCCCUCUCAUCUCUUUCGCUCUGAGCUUUCCCUCUCUUCUCUUUCCCUCUCGAUCACAAACCAUCGUCACGUGUUUUUCGUUAAUGAGGUUUCGAGAAAGGGAAUGGGAUCGCGGUGCCGUUAAGGGCCGUCGUGCUCCGGUCUAACCGAGGGUUUGGAUCGACGACCGUUGCAUAGUGCUACUACAAGGAUGACGAGAAGAGGAGUGUGCGACACACGGCAUGCUUGACACACAGGGUUGCAAGCCGAAGCGUGGAGUGUAGUGGGUGAUGAUAGGGAAGCCUGGAGUUGGGAGGAACCUCUUAGCGUAGAGGCUCUCGAAGGUUCUAGAAGUUCCUCACAUUUCCAUGGCUAUGCUCCUCAGCCAGAACCUCAACCCUUGCUCCUACCUCUAUCACCAACGAGCAAAUGCCUUAGAUCAUGGAAAACUUGUCCCAGAGGAAAAUACUCUUUUAUGACCAUCACGCUUCGUUCUUUUUGCGCUCACGGUCACGCUAACAAAGUUCCUUCAUCUAGUAAGUAAUCCCUUUCUUCUUUGAUUCAUAAAUCCCUAAAAUUGCAAAACUCGAAAACCCUAAUUUGUUUCUUCUUUCUUCCUAUUGCACGUAACGAUAUGUGGUGUAGUUCGUAAGACGUUGUUCCAUUGUUACCAGAUAUCGAUUGAGGCGAGGGUGUUGCUUUUUGAAAACAUUCGAAGUGGUAGUAAGGUCUUAAUGGAUUAAUUAGUGGGUAUUCAGGAGCCUAACUUUGUGCAAUUGACCAAGUCGAUGGAUUCAUCCUUAUUUGCAAACACGAUAUGCAGGCUAUAUACAGGGAGAAUAUCAAAUAAAAGUAACUAAAAGUGCCCUGGCCUUGUUGCUAACCAGCAGGUACAAUGAAUUGGGAAAAAUACAUGUCCAUGGCCAAAUCUGCAUGUAUUGGUUAGGGAUCACUUGUAACACAAAUCUUCAUGAACUAGUUGAAAAUUAAAGUACCAAAGCUUAUCAACUUUAAGCUGACUGUUAACUUUUCUUCCAGGAUAUUACUUCUAGCUCUUUUGAUUACAAAAUUGGCUUUCUUAUGGAAAUCUCAUCUAUCAGAGAAUUACCUGAUAUGCAGGAACGAACCCAAGGGUGUUUGUGGUGUAUUGCCAUGUUCUUGCAACCAUUGAAUUUAUUUAAUUUAAUAUUUUUAUAGGAAUUAAAGUUGGCAACGCUAUUGUCAAGCAGCUGGAUGAUCUCAGUUGCCAAUGUUGUUCCAUUAUGGUGUGUUUCAAUAUUUCUUUUGUUGUUUCAUCUGUACCUAAUUUCAUUAUUAGAGAUGUGCUAGUCCAACUAUAUGUGCUUCGAUAUAUCUGGAGAUUCUAUUGGUAUCAGGGGUGAAACCUGAUGACAUAUGUUCCCAAGUUGGUUUAUGUUCCGCCAAAAGGAUUCAAUCUAAGAGAUUCCAUCAAGCUUGAAGAAGGUCUUCCACCCAAUAAUUUUUUGUGCAACAUUUGCAGAGCUAGCAACAAUUGUUUCAGAGUUUCUUUCUGAGUAUAACUUGAUUAUAUUUUAGGUGUAAAUUAUAGUUUAGUUAAUAUUCAAUUCUAUAUUGUACAA